CAGCAGCCACGGGAAUACGUAGGUGGCAAGCGUUGUCCGGAAUUAUUGGGCGUAAAGGGCUCGCAGGCGGUUUCUCAAGUCUGAUGUGAAAGCCCCCGGCUCAACCGGGGAGGGUCAUUGGAAACUGGGAAACUUGAGUGCAGAAGAGGAGAGUGGAAUUCCACGUGUAGCGGUGAAAUGCGUAGAGAUGUGGAGGAACACCAGUGGCGAAGGCGACUCUCUGGUCUGUAACUGACGCUGAGGAGCGAAAGCGUGGGGAGCGAACAGGAUUAGAUACCCCCGUAGUCCCUGUCUCUUAUAC
rnacentral:rRNA from 1 species